rnacentral:rRNA from 1 species
AGGAUGAACGCUGGCGGUGUGCCUAAUACAUGCAAGUCGAGCGGUAAGGUCCCUUCGGGGAUACACGAGCGGCGGACGGCUGAGUAACGCGUGGGAACGUACCCCAAAGUGAGGGAUAAGCACCAGAAAAUGGUGUCUAAUACCGCAUAUGCUCUAAGGAGUAAAGCUUCGGCGCUUUGGGAACGGCCUGCGUCUGAUUAGCUUGUUGGUGAGGUAAAAGCUCACCAAGGCGACGAUCAGUAGCUGGUCUGAGAGGAUGACCAGCCAGACUGGGACUGAGAACGGCCCAGACUCCUACGGGAGGCAGCAGUAGGGAAUUUUCCACAAUGGGC